AAUGAACGCUGGCGGCGCGCCUAAUACAUGCAAGUCGAGCGAGAAGACGUAGCAAUACGUUUGUAAAGCGGCGAACGGGUGAGGAAUACAUGGGUAACCUACCCUCGAGUGGGAAGUAACUAGCCGAAGGUUAGCUAUACGCGUACGCUCCUUGGACUUCGGUUCAGGGAGGAAAGACGAUACCGUGGGUAGUCGCGCUCUUGGUUGGGCGUCAUGUCCUAUCAGCUUGUUGGGAGGUAAC
rnacentral:rRNA from 1 species